GUAAAAGCACAAUCAGCUUGAUGUUGAGGAGAAGGGCUGUGCAGCAGAGAGGCUGUUUAGUUGCUUGAUUCUACUGCAGUGGAAGAACAUUGUUCAUCUGCUGUCUGUUUGGCUUCAACAACUCCAAAGACAUGUUGCUUUACCUCUUUUUGCUUUUAUCUGACUUCAUAGCCAUGGGCUCCAUGAACAGCAUCAAGCCAGAAAGUACAGAAGAAGUUGUUGAAGAGGGAAGAACCAUCAGCCUGACCUGUAAAUAUGAGGGUUCUAUCAACAAUAUCCAGUGGUACCAACAGAACCACAGAUCCAGACCAGAGUUCCUGCUCUCCAUCACAGAGGAAGGAUCAACUCAUCCAACUCUUUCUGAUUUCUCAGCUCACAUUGACAAAACAGAGAAACGUGUAGAUCUGAAGAUCAUCUCAGCUAAAGUGACAGACUCUGCUGUGUACUACUGUGCUCUGAGGCCCACAGUGACAGGAAACAGCACAACUCUGUACAAAAACCUUUGGAGCAAAGACAACAGAAUACUCCACAACAUCCACUAGAGGGAGUCACACACUGUUCAACCAAGCCAGAGGAAACCAAUCAGUUAGAGAAGCUCACAAGAGAAGAGAAAAUCCAGAUCUAAGAGGAGACGGAGAGAUUCAGGGAGGAGCUGAGCUGUUACUGAACUAUAGAAGAGAGAGGAACUUCCAUAUUCAGCAGAGUUCAAUACACAGACCAUAAACUUUCCCUUUA